CCUGUUCCUCACCGCUGCCUCUCAUCUCCCUCUCUCUCGUCUCUUUCGUUUUUGUCUACCAACAAUAAUGGAGGUCUUGGCAGCUUCAACAAUGGACUCCAGUGUCACCAUCCCCUUCUUCAAAACCAUCACCAUCUUCCCUUAUCUCCCCCGCCUGCAUUCAUAGCAAGCUAGGCAGUAGUGGUACCCUCUCCCCGCCAACGGCAAUCGGUGUGCGAUGGCUUCGGCAUAGCAGCUCCCCAAUAGCAGACCAGCGGCAUCAACCUCUCCGUUGUUCUUUAUGGCACGAAACAGGGCAGCGAUGGUAGCUGGUUCACCGGGAAAGUUCCCCCUCCCCUCGUCUUUGUUCUUGGUAGUGCGUAGUGCGUGGCGGGGGUGGCUGGGCGGUGCGGAGCAGCGGGUGGCUUCGGCGGUGCACCCUUCUCUGUUACAGCGUAAAGGUGGCAGCAGCAGCAUGGGUUGGGCUCCUCUGCUUCCGGUGGCUCAACGGCGAAGCUCGGAUGGCGUGAGCAGCAUCUCGACGUCUUCUCUCCCCUGCUCCCGGUGGCUUCGCGGCGGUAGACCAGCAGCGGCAUACUUCCUCUCUUCCUCCCUUCCAUCAGCAAUGGUGGGCAGUUCAUAUAAAUGGUAGUAGGCGACUAUGUUGGCGGUGGCGUGACUUGGAGAUUCACAUGCAUUCGCAUUAUUCUGGUCUUAGCAGGUUCACGAUUAUGGACCUAGCAUACAAACCGAGCUUAGAGUUGGUGUUGCUUUGGAUUAGUACGCUUCAAGAGGUAUGCGAUAAGUCUAAGCGAGAGCGCGUUAGAGCUUAUCCUUAUGAGGCAGCUUAGACAUAGUUAUGUUGUUUUAGACUUUAUGUUUGGGCCUGUGUGCCAAUGAUGAGACUAUAUGUACUCUUGAUUAGAUUUCAGAUGUUUUGACAUUACUUGAGGAUUAUAUCUAUUCAGUUGGUUCAGUUUA